rnacentral:rRNA from 1 species
GCCAUACCGCGUGGGUGAAGAAGGCCUUCGGGUUGUAAAGCCCUUUUGUUGGGAAAGAAAUCCAGCCGGGCUAAUACCCGGUUGGGAUGACGGUACCCAAAGAAUAAGCACCGGCUAACUUCGUGCCAGCAGCCGCGGUA